rnacentral:rRNA from 1 species
GACAGAGGCCUCAAGCGUUAGGCGGAAUCACUGGGCUUAAAGCGUGUGUAGGCGGAUCGUUAAGUGUCUUGUGAAAUCCCACGGCUCACCCGUGGAACUGCUGGGCAUACUGGCGAUCUUGGGCCAACUAGGGGCAGCCGGAACAAGCGGUGGAGCGGUGAAAUGCGUAGAUAUCGCUUGGAACGCCGGAAGGUGAAAACAGGCUGCUGGGGUUGCGCCGACG